GAGGAGAUGGACGACAACAAAGGGGGGGAAAAGAUAAGAGGGGAAGAAGAAAACGAUGUGAAACUUUUAACAAGUUGAGGUAGAGAGAUUGCUGUUGUGACUCAACAGGAAGCUGGAAUAGAGAAGGAAGGAAAAGAGGAUGAAAAAGUUAGUUUGUGAAGACUGAAGCUAGUGUGUGUGAAAGCACACACAGUUGUGGCAAUAUCCUGCCUUUGGAAAUAGUAAAAGAGCCAUAACAGGUGGGACUCUAGCAGGGUGUAAGGUGUUCGUGUCCCUGCAAAGCAGCGGCAAUAUCCCACAUUUGCUGUGUCAGAGACACAGGCAGAUAGAUGCCAGAUUUUGUGUUACAGCUCUAACGUGGCCAUUUUGCGAAUCUGCCUGUGAAAGGGGCUACAAACUUAACAGUAUCGCAAACUUUAGCCCAUAUUACACUGCCUAUAUAAAUCUGCUUAUUUCUGCCUUCCUACCGUAUUGGUGUUCUGGAUUAAGGAUAUCGACACAGAUUGGGAGAAUCUGGCAAUUUUUGAACUUUGGAGGUCGUAUCAAAGCUGUAACAGAGGUGGGAAAAUGUCGGGACCGCAAUGUGAAGUUUGAACAGCUGAAACUCACUUCUCCCACCCUUUUCAGUGGAACGACAACCGUUUAAUUUAUUGUGUUGACCUUGCAUUUGUUCUACUGUGAUAAGGUGUAUUUUUAAAGGCAGGUAUUAGUUUCUUGAGGGUUUUUCAUUAACAUGGCUGUUUGCGCCGCUGCCAUUUCAUUUGGCUGCGCUUAAUUUACUCGGCUAAUUGCAAAUGAAUGCAUAAUCAAAAACAAGACGCCCGUGUUUAUGCCGCAAAUUAUACACACUAAGACCCCUGUUUUUGCCCCCCUCCGGUGCACGGCUUCUCAAUGCUAGCAUCCAUCACAUUAUACAAUUGAGCUCCAUUUCAGAGCAUUUGUGUGAAAGAGCGCCAUUUGUAUGAAAAAAAGAAUGGAGACGUGAUGAAAGUCGUUCGGCGGAGGCUGGCCAGCAGGAGCCUGCGAGGCGGGUAAAAACGCUUUUUGUGUGUGUGGGCCAAUGUGUGCGACUGAAGAUAAGAGCGGCGGCGGGACACGUUUGAAAAAAGGAGGGCCGUCUGUAAGGUUAUCAGCUCGCCUUCACCGAGCAAGACGACAACCGCGUUUUGUCAGGAUCCUUCCACCGCUGGACUGUAACCCUAUCGAUGAUUUAUUUGAGGACUUUCCGGAUCAUUAAGCCCUAGGGAAGAUUCAUUAAAAAUACAUAAAGGCAACUCGCACACACCUGUAGCAGUGUGAUAAAUGGUGAUAAUCUUUUCUCUAUGUAUGGCUAUAUUGUCACAAUAUCAUACCAAACAACUAUCCGGUAUAUAGUGUUUUCUACAUAUGCUGAUGUAUCGAUACAGUGGAGGUAAAAACAGCGAUACAAUAGAUAUUUUCUCUACAAUUUAGGGGUGUCAAACACUUUAGUUUGCGGGCCACAUUCACCCCAAUUAGAUCUCAUACAAACUUUGGUCUCAAUGGUAAAUGUAGUUUUGAAAAUGGAGCAAAUGAAAGUUUGGAAGUAGCACACGCCACCGUAUAAGGGCUUAUACAGAUUGAAAACGCCAGCACACUUCCUCCUGCUCCCGUGCAGGCUUCCUCAUUUGUUCCGCAUAUCAUACAUCAUGGUCACUCCACAGCUAUCCACUCAUCCAUCAGCGCCUCAGUCAGCAGUGGCAGCAGAAGAGGCUUUUGUUGCCACUGUGUGACUGAGGCUGCUGCUCGUGUUGAGGUCAUGGCAAAAAUGAGCGAUUCACCAAAAGCGGCUGGUCAUACUCUUCGGGCGGUCGCUCGUCGUCCUGAGGCAGUCGACUCUCUCGGGGGCAGCGAGAGCGUUCGGGGUCUGAGUCUCCGCCGUUCUCGGUGGGCUCGUACGGGGUGUCGUACAGGGGAAGUUGCUUGGUGCUGCCGUCCUUCGACCCGCGACCGCUGGAUCGGAUUUCUAAAGACCAGGAAAAGAAAAGAGUAGUCCAUCUUCCUGGGCAGCCAUGGCCCAAUGGUUAAGAUCAUCGCCUGCCACCGUGGGGGACCUAGGUUCAAGACCCCGACUGGACCAUCCGCCAACAUCCCCCGGACUCAUGGCUGUGGUGUCCUUGAGCAAGACACUGAUACCCCGAAAUGCUCCCCGGGCGCUUCAGCUGCCCCCUGCUCCAGUGUGUUCCACUAACAUGUGUAUGUCUUCACUGUGAUGGGUUAAAUGCAGAGAACAAAUUUCGUGUGCAUGCAUGCAUGUUCAUGACAAUAAAAGAUGGUUCUUCUUCUU